AAAGAAUUAGUUAAUAAAUAACAUAAAUAUGUCAAAUUUAAAUUAUUAUUCAAUAUAAUAUUCUUUU
rnacentral:tRNA from 1 species